rnacentral:RNase_P_RNA from 1 species
AAAGUAGCGCAGACGAUCGCUGGCAUCCCGGGGGGAUGCCAGAGGAAAGUCCGAGCUCCACAGAGCAGAAUGCUGGAUAACGUCCAGGCGGGGUGACCCGACGGAAAGUGCCACAGAAAAGAGACCGCCUGCUCCCGGGCUCUCCGGGAGGGGGUAAGGGUGAAAAGGUGAGGUAAGAGCUCACCGCACUUCCGGUGACGGAAGUGGCAGGGCAAACCCCAUUCGGAGCAAGGCCAAAUAGGAAAGCGCUUGAGGGUUGCUCGCCCGAUGCUUUCGGGUUGGCCGCUUGAGGUAUGAGGUAACUCAUACCCUAGAGGAAUGAUCGUCGCCGUAAGAGUGUGCCCGCUCUUACGGAACAGAACUCGGCUUAUGCGCUGCUUUAGUC